UCAGGGAGGGGAGCCAGCUCAUCCUCACUCUGUUGAUCAUCUGCUUUCAUCAAUAGCCAGGAGAAGAAAAGGGAAAUUAGACCAUGUCAGUUCCAGCUGUGCAGAUACUCCAGCUUUUGUCAAAAACUUUCAUGUCCUUUUGCUUGCCAUCUCGCUCAGUUGUCAACAUGAGGAGAAAAAGAUGGCUGAACUGUGCAGAGAACUGACCAUGUAAACAGCUCGGGCCAGGGCCAGCCUGGCCUUCUGUCCUCCACUCAGAGUCACUCCGUUCUC